GAUAAGGUGGGUCAUAAUCAAAUUAUCUCCUGAUGCAGAGUGAAGACUACAUACUCCAAACUUUUUGCAGAAACUUUCACUUCAUUUUAACCACAAGAUGAAAAUAUGAGACAAAAUUUGAAGGGACAAAAACAAGUUGAAGAUUCUUUCUCAUGGUUAGGAGUACCUAUCAUAUGCUCAAACACAUGUCAUAAUUGAAAGCAUGUUUGAAACAACAAAUCAAAAGAAAAAGUUUCCCCAGUCUCAACACACCUCAUAUUUCUGUAGGUCAACUCU
rnacentral:misc_RNA from 1 species